rnacentral:rRNA from 1 species
CAUGCUUAACACAUGCAAGUCGAACGAGAUCUUCGGAUCUAGUGGCGCACGRGUGCGUAACGCGUGGGGAUCUACCAUAGGGUGCGGAAUAACUCAGAGAAAUUUGAGCUAAUACCGCAUAAUGUCUUCGRACCAAAGAUUUAUCGCCCUUUGAUGAACCCGCGUAGGAUUAGCUUGUUGGUGAGGUAAGAGCUCACCAAGGCGACGAUCUUUAGCUGGUCUGAGAGGAUGAUCAGCCACACUGGGACUGAGACACGGCCCAGACUCUACGGGAGGCAGCAGUGGGGAAUAUUGGACAAUGGGCGAAAGCCUGAUCCAGCAAUGCCGCGUGAGUGAUGAAGGCCUUAGGGUUGUAAAGCUCUUUUAACCAGGGAUGAUAAUGACAGUACCUGGAGAAUAAGCUCCGGCUAACUCCGUGCCAGCAGCCGCGGUAAUACGGAGGGAGCUAGCGUUGUUCGGAAUUACUGGGCGUAAAGCGCGCGUAGGCGGUUACUCAAGUCAGAGGUGAAAGCCCGGAGCUCAACUCCGGAACUGCCUUUGAAACUAGGUGACUAGAAUCUUGGAGAGGCGAGUGGAAUUCCGAGUGUA